rnacentral:rRNA from 1 species
AUGAACGCUGGCGGCGUGCCUAAUACAUGCAAGUCGAGCGAACAGAUGAGGAGCUUGCUCCUCUGACGUUAGCGGCGGACGGGUGAGUAACACGUGGAUAACCUACCUAUAAGACUGGGAUAACUUCGGGAAACCGGAGCUAAUACCGGAUAAUAUAUUGAACCGCAUGGUUCAAUAGUGAAAGACGGUUUUGCUGUCACUUAUAGAUGGAUCCGCGCCGCAUUAGCUAGUUGGUAAGGUAACGGCUUACCAAGGCAACGAUGCGUAGCCGACCUGAGAGGGUGAUCGGCCACACUGGAGCUGAGACACGGUCCAGACUCCUACGGGAGGCAGCAGUAGGGAAUCUUCCGCAAUGGGCGAAAGCCUGACGGAGCAACGCCACGUGAGUGAUGAAGGUCUUCGGAUCGUAAAACUCUGUUAUUAGGGAAGAACAAAUGUGUAAGUAACUAUGCACGUCUUGACGGUACCUAAUCAGAAAGCCACGGCUAACUACGUG